rnacentral:rRNA from 1 species
UACGGAGGGGGCUAGCGUUGUUCGGAAUUACUGGGCGUAAAGCGCACGUAGGCGGCUUUGCAAGUUAGAGGUGAAAGCCCAGGGCUCAACCCUGGAAUUGCCUUUAAAACUGCAUCGCUAGAAUUGUGGAGAGGUAAGUGGAAUUCCGAGUGUAGAGGUGAAAUUCGUAGAUAUUCGGAAGAACACCAGUGGCGAAGGCGGCUCACUGGACUGGUAUUGACGCUGAGGUGCGAAAGCGUGGGGAGCAAACAGG